AUUGAUGGACAUAACCAAAAACAGACGCUCUAGGAGAGAGUCAAGAGAAAGCGUACGAUAGAUACGUCUGUUGGUUAAAAGUUGUUAUCCAAUGACAAGAUGUGCGUCUUUUCAUAAACUAGGUUUUCCGGAAAAAAAAAAGAAGCUAGGUUUUGAAACUAAAUAUAGAACGAAUAGGAAUUGAAAACAGAAAGAAACUGAUAGUUCCAUUUUACACCUCUCAGGGGAAGUUUCUUCAAGUUUGGAAAUUCCACAAGUGUAAUGAUUACAUGGUUGGCACUCUGCUACGCACCGGUUAAAGCUUUGAUUGUAGUCCAACAAUACAGAGGCUGGCCAAUUCCCGAGGUUGUUAUAAGUGUGAUUCAUAGAUUCGGUCCUGCGGAUAUAGUGCAUUUUAGUUGAUCCAUAUAUACAUAAAAAGAAUUUUGGAUUGAAAGUCUCAACCUCCCAAGGUAAAGGCCUGAACACAUGAAGAACCUCUUAAUCAACCACCACUGUAAACCUAAAGAACAAUUGAUGCUUAUAAAAUAAUGCUGAUCAAGUAUAUGUCGGCUUUCCUUCUAUUUCAUCGCAAAAACAAGCAAACAAGCAAGAUUCCACCAGGGUUAGGAAACGGCUUCAAUCCCGUGGUUAAGACUUACCCACGAGAGGGCGGAAGCCAACAACUUGGAACUUUCACAUAUCAAAAUGGUUUAUCUAUAAGCUUAGAGUCGGAAACUGGGUCGCAUCUGUGUUCAUUUAAGAAACAAUAUAUCCAGAAGCUCCUUUAAGGUCAUAAUGGAAACUACAUAUAGGCCAGAAGAAUGGGUUUUUGCAGAGAAAGUUAAACAUAAGAAAAUGGUUACUUCCGAAACAUGGUUUAUGUUUAAUCAUUUGAGAAACUGCGCGCGGAUAAUGAUGGGAUGGGGUAUCGACAGUUGGGAAUAAUUUUGUUGGUUUUUACGGUAUCGUUUGUAUUGGAGGAAGAGAUGCUGAUGCAUGUUUAUGAAUUGCAGCUUGAAUAUGCCCUCCAAUUCACCUUUGCACAUGGGAUGUGACAAGAGCUAUGAAAUACUUUGUAAAGUAGUUGAAUCAUGAAGCAAAAGAAAAAUUGGCCAGAAUUCUGUGACAAGUUUGUAAUCCCUGUAAUGCUAGAUGCGUGCGCCACUUAUGUUGGUGAUGU